CCCACCCCCCUCGCGCCUACCGCCGCCGCCAAGAACCCGCGCCCAGCCCCCGACGCCGCACCACCCAAAACCGCCACCACCGCCAUAGAACCCGCGCCCAGAGCCCGACGCUGCACCACCAAAACCGCCCAGCUCAGAUCCCUGCCGUCGCUGCUCCUUCUUCCCCACACUCGCCCCCGAUCCCGGCGUCCAUCUCGAAUUGGUGCCCCCAAUCCUGGCACCCAGUCACUGCUCCCUCCUCCAGACGUGACCCCAAUCCCGACGCCCAGCUCGGAUAUAUCCUGGCAGCGCUGCAUCAACCUGCCGUCGCCGCUCCUUCACCCCCAGACGCGUCCCCAACUCCAGCGCCGCACCACCCCCAUCCCGGCGUGUCUCGGGGGAUCCUUUUCACCCCCUCCUACCGCGCCGCCGAGAGCCUCCCGCCAGCGCGCUGCAUCCUCACAACGUAGAGCUUCAGAGGUACCCCCUACUAGAGCCGUGGCGAGACCCUGCGCCGUCGGCGACCCUCCUGGCGAUGCGUUGUUUUUCCGCCCCGUGCCUCCCCGGCGAGCUGUAGGCGUCCGUGCAGUGUGGACAUAGCAACCCUGUGUUGGAGAUAUGGUGCCGGCGCCGCGAGGUGUUGUUCUUUCCCUCCAUCGCAGAUCCCCCAACCCCACAGGCCUCCACCGCGCCAUUGUGUUUGGCCGCCACCGAUUCCAUCGAUGUUCUCCAUCCGUGAGCCCACAUCGUCUUUCUCAUUAUCUUCUCUCUUCGCUCAUCCCCUUUAAAUACCUCACCAGGUGAUUCCAUUUGAUCUGUUGCCUUAUUAAUAUAUGUGCGAAGAAAUACGGCUUGGGUGAGAUUUCAUCCGAUUGGCUGCUGUUCUAGUCCCUAACGUGAUGAGUUUGUGACUCUCAUUGAUGGUGGGAUCGAUCCUGAUGCGUGUUCACCCAUCCCUGGCUGACAAGCUUUUUUUUAGAUUAAGGAAAAACAACCGGCCUCUCCCCUGGCCGACGAGCUGGUGGCAUGCCUGAUGAGCUGGUGGCCAUGAGCAGAUGAACGACGUGCAACAACACCCAAAUACUGAAUCAAGCAUCCAGCAGAGAGGACAAGUGCCGCAGCCCCUGCACUCAGAUCAGAGACCAUUUCCACCAGAGCAUCUUUGGCGACCAUAACAUUUGUAUGCCACGGAUCAGCUCAAACUGGACUUCAUCUCCGAAGAAAGGAAUGCCCCCUGCGCUGGGUUACUACUGGGGCUAAUGUGUACUGAAGAAUUAUUGAAGAUUGACAUUGACUUAAGCAGCGACACACCUGCAUAGCACCUCAUGAUCCUGUGUAUUCUAUGACAUCAAACAUUGUUUUUUUGCAAUUAUGUAGUGCUUUGACUGUGGCUUGUGUUUCCUGAAGUUGCUUGGGUGUGGGGUACAGUAGUUUGUAAAUUUUUGCCUGCGCAGACAGACCAUGUUUGUUAAAUUUGUUCUUUCGAGUAUAUAAGAACAUGUGUAUUCACAUCUUGUUCACCUAUAAUUAAUGCAUUUCGAAUA